AAUAGAUACCCGGGUAGUCCACGCCGUAAACGAUGGAUGCUAGCUAUUGGGGGGAAUCGACCCCCUCCGAAGCGAAGCUAACGCGUUAAGCAUCCCGCCUGAGUAGUACGAGCGCAAGCUUAAAACUCAAAGGAAUUGACGGGGACCCGCACAAGCGGUGGAGCGUGUGGUUUAAUUCGAUGGUAAACGAAGAACCUUACCAAGGUUUGACAUCCCGGUAGCCGUUCUCCGAAAGGAGAAUUUCAUUUAGUUGGACCGGUGACAGGUGAUGCAUGGCCGUCGUCAGCUCGUGUCGUGAGAUGUUGGGUUAAGUCCCGCAACGAGCGCAACCCUUAUGAUUUAGUUGGAUUUUUCUAAACAGACUGCCCUGGUAACAGGGAGGAAGGAGGGGAUGAUGUCAGGUCAGUAUUUCCCUUACACCUUGGGCGACACACGCGCUACAAUGGCCGGUACAAUGGGCAGCUAAGCCGCGAGGUGGAGCAAAUCCCAUCAAAGCCGGUCCCAGUUCGGAUUGCAGGCUGAAACCCGCCUGCAUGAAGCCGGAAUCGCUAGUAACC
rnacentral:rRNA from 1 species